AACACCUGUGUCUCUUAACCUAAGAGCUGUCUCCAGCACAGGAGGAACAUCCUGUCCAGAGGAAAGGAUAUUUAAGGAGAAAGGAAGCAGCACAAGUUCGACUCAGCCAAGAAACAGAGGAAGGACAUCCCAAGCACGAAGUGGGGCACCGGUCUGUGUUCCAGCGAGAAGAUGAUCACAGAAUAGCCAGCACUGGUAUUGUUCCGCCAGCGACAGCAGAUACUUACCUCCAGAUUUUUGGG
rnacentral:lncRNA from 1 species